rnacentral:lncRNA from 1 species
GAGCAGUCUCAUCAUCCCAUCUUUGACCAUAAGACGAAGCGACAUCGUUAACGGAACCAAUCCCCAACGUACGUCCUUUUUUCUUAGGGACGACCUUUAAAAAAAAAAUUAAUGUUAGUUAGUGAUAAAAUGUUAUAAUAAAUGAAUAAUAAUAAAAAAAAAUUGUACCUCCUCAUAAAUCUUAUCCACUUCAUGUGUGGAUAAUUUGACAGAUAUUCCAUCAGGGGACUACUGGAUCAGCUGUGUUUGGCGCUCUUCAAUCCGAGAAACCAUGUCGUUGUAGAUUUGCUCAUACCUACGAUCUACAAAUUU